rnacentral:lncRNA from 1 species
GGAAAACUAGUUUGAAAAUCACCAAAAUUCCUCUUGUCCUUAUCCCCAUCCACUUCUAUCCCAAUCCAAUUACCAUCCCUAUAGUCUUCCCUCAGCCACCUACUCACAGUCGGCGUCACCCUCGUUGACGGAGCCCUCAAUGACAUAUCCUAUUCAAACACCACCUCCUAAGAAUCUAAAGUUAAUUUUACCGAACAAAAACAUUCCCCAUGCUCCAACUUUCCACAUAUAAAAUGGAAUAACGAUAGCUUUUCAUAUUGAAAAAUUGCAUAUGUGGACUUAUUUUGCUAAAAAACAUGUUUUUUCCUCUUUAAUAGAAGACGGACAUCCAUCAUCACCUUAAGUUGCAUGAAAUUCCUCACCCCUUCAUCAACAAAGCAACAUCAUACUCCAAAAAUUGCCCAAUAAAGUUUCCAAAUUGUCGCACCAUCCCUUCAGAAAUAAAUCCCAACGGCAAGUUAUGUACCUACACCUAAAAAGCGACAUAAAAAAGAGGACCUUGAAUCAGAUCCUCACCUCCAAUUUAUGAAACACAAUGAGAUGCCUAUUAAAGAACCAUGACAUUCA